rnacentral:rRNA from 1 species
UAUGUGAUCGUCUCUCGCAUAUCAAUAAGCGGAGGAAAAGAAACUAACAAGGAUUCCCCUAGUAACGGCGAGUGAAGCGGGAAGAGCUCAAAUUUGAAAUCUUAAAGGGUUUCCCUUUACGAAUGUAGUUUAAAGAAGUGUUUUCUGUUGAGGUUUUGGUAAAAGUUCUUUGGAAUAGGACAUCAUAGAGGGUGAGAAUCCCGUAUUUGACCUUUACUUUCAACUUUGUGAUACACUUUCAAAGAGUCGGAUUGUUUGGGAAUGCAGUCCAAAAUGGGUGGUAAAUUUCAUCUAAAGCUAAAUAUUGGCGAGAGACCGAUAGCGAACAAGUACCGUGAGGGAAAGAUGAAAAGAACUUUGAAAAGAGAGUUAAACAGUACGUGAAAUUGUCAAAAGGGAAGCGUUUGACACCAGUGUUGUUUUUCUGAAAAUCAAUUAAAGAACUGUUUAUGCUAAGUUGUUUAGACUUUAUCAGCUAUACUGUUUAGUUUUGAGCUUUUCUUUAAUGCACUUUUCAGUUAACAAGUCAACAUCAAUUUCUUUUGCUGUAAAAAAGCUUGAGGAAGGUGGCUUGAGAUUCGUCUUAAGUGUUUAUAGCCUCUUGCCUAUGCAGUCGGAGAGAUUGAGGUCUGCAGCGUAGAUCCUUCGGGGCUAAAUGCAUUUGUGCUAAGUUAUAGCAUUUUAUAGACAACUUGUUGACUAUGAUUUGUCUUGUAGCUUACUCGCUUAUGUUAUUUUACCUACGCUUAGGAUGUUGAGUAGCGACAUACGCAC